rnacentral:tRNA from 1 species
GCCGAAGUGGCGAAAUGGCAUACGCGGCAGCCUCAAAAGCUGUUGGGCGCAAGCCCAUGUGGGUUCAACUCCCUCCUUCGGCA